UUGAGCUUGAUCCCUGGCUCAGGAUGAACGCUGGCGGCGUGCUUAACACAUGCAAGUCGAACGAUGAUCCCAGCUUGCUGGGGGAUUAGUGGCGAAACGGGUGAGUAACACGUGAGUAAACCUGCCCUUAACUCUGGGAUAAGCCUGGGAAACUGGGUCUAAUACCGGAUAUGACUCCUCAUCGCAUGGUGGGGGUGGAAAGCUUUAUUGUGGUUUUGGAUGGACUCGCGGCCUAUCAGCUUGUUGGUGAGGUAAUGGCUCACCAAGGCGACGACGGGUAGCCGGCCUGAGAGGGUGACCGGCCACACUGGGACUGAGACACGGCCCAGACUCCUACGGGAGGCAGCAGUGGGGAAUAUUGCACAAUGGGCGAAAGCCUGAUGCAGCGACGCCGCGUGAGGGAUGACGGCCUUCGGGUUGUAAACCUCUUUCAGUAGGGAAGAAGCGAAAGUGACGGUACU
rnacentral:rRNA from 1 species